UGGGGAAUAUUGCACAAUGGGCGCAAGCCUGAUGCAGCAACGCCCCGUGAGGGACGACGGCCUUCGGGUUGUAAACCUCUUUUGGCAGGGAAGAAGCGAAAGUGACGGUACCUGCAGAAAAAGCACCGGCUAACUACGUGCCAGCAGCCGCGGUGAUACGUAGGGUGCAAGCGUUGUCCGGAAUUAUUGGGCGUAAAGAGCUCGUAGGCGGUUUGUCGCGUCUGCUGUGAAAACCCGAGGCUCAACCUCGGGCCUGCAGUGGGUACGGGCAAACUAGAGUGUGGUAGGGGAGAUUGGAAUUCCUGGUGUAGCGGUGGAAUGAGCAGAUAUCAGGAGGAACACCGAUGGCGAAGGCAGAUCUCUGGGCCGUAACUGACGCUGAGAAGCGAAAGCAUGGGGAG
rnacentral:rRNA from 1 species